rnacentral:lncRNA from 1 species
AAGAAAUCAGUGAAGGUCUCCGAAGAUGUGAAGAAAGCCAUCAUUGAUUCCCUACUAGCAAGCAACGGACACCUGACGAACGGGGUAACAUCGCUGCAAAAAAAUGGCGUCCAUGAUGACCUCAAAUGGGCAUGUGAUGCUACUGCUACUGACGGAGCGUUGGCUCGCACCAUUGUGGUCUGGCACAUUGCUACAACCCAGUGCGAGCAGAAGCUGGAUAAACAAGUCAAAGAAGAAGACGCUGUCAAAACAGCCUCCACUUUAUCCAAGUACUGCAUGCACCUCCUUGCUUUCGCACCUAACCUCUUGCCCGACCACAGCUCCAUAUCGGAAUCCAUACUUGAUUAGUCAAUCCACGAAGCAAGCAAGUUACUCAAAGAGGCCAAGGACAAGAAGAUCAAGGGCAAGAACAAGAAGAUCGAGGGCAGGUGUGAGAUACUAAUGCAAAUUAGCACUGAUGAUGAUUGUGUUGAUGAUGAAACAAUUCUUGUUGCGCGGGGCGUUCACCUUGCAAGGCAACUGAUUGAUAACAUACAAGACUUCACAACACGGUGGAAGGUGCUAUCUGAUUUCUGGGCGGAGAUGAUGCUGUAUGUCUCGCCAUCCGACGAUGCUCGGGAGCACCUGGAAGUUCUUGCAAUAGGAGGGGAGUUCAUCACGCACCUUUGGGCGCUGCUCACGCAUGCCGGUGUGCUGAAGCGAGGACCUACAGUGCCAAAGGAUGGUUUGUGACCUCUUUAACAAGUACACACGUAGCAGUCAUUAUAUCUAUCUAGUGCUUGUAACAUUCUAUGUAUGUUGGCACACCAUGUGUGAGUUAGUCUGUCGAGUCUGUAUCUCUUUUCAUGUCGAGUUAGUUUGUCGAGUCUGUAUCUCUUUUCAUGUCGUGUCCGUUGUCAGAUUUUGGGCAGAGUCAGAUCUGGUAAUUUCCGCAAGUUUCCUUAAGAAGAGCGUGUGUUCAGGUUGUUGGACGUGCGCGCGUCUAAGGUGGCCAUUACAGUCGCAAUCUGUUCCAUCGACCACUUGGGCACUCUCUCUCAGUUGCGUCUGUUCGUCUGUCAAUUGAGCAGGUCCUGUUGCAGCAGAGAUUGACCCUGCUACUACAGAAGGGGCGGGGAUCCCCUCCUGAGGAUUCCAGCUCUUUAGGGAGGGGUUCAACCUUGAGGAAGAUGCCAUAGUAGGAAUUCUUGCAUUCAUGUUCGUAACAAUACUGAGUGUUAUGGAAAAAUAUGGUCUUCUUCCUCUUCCCUCUUUGGGGAAGGGAAGCCUUUAUUCUUCGCGGAGUGUAUUGGGGAUAUAGGACUGAAAGCAGUGAUCAAGGACACGACUUGCCUUCUUGGUCUUGCUCCUGCUGUUCAUACUCCUCGAAGGCUUGAUCUUCAAAUCCCUCGAACUGCUGAACGUCUACACGCAUCAGACAAGCACAUACAAGCAAACAAGGGCAUAAAGUAAGAAAACAAUACACCAAUCAAAAUUAAACAGAGAAAACAAGCUUGUAAAAUUGAUCUACGCUUUAAAAACGAACAUGUAGAUAUAAAGAAUGCGAAAAAAGGAGUUAAGAUGCAAAAGAUAUAAUUAAAAUAAGAUCCAGGGGUUUUUCUGCGAGAAUUCAAAACUUUUAGGGUCAAACUGCGAAAAAUUGAGGACUUAUACAUAAUUACGUGUAUAAACUGAAGGUUUAAUGUGCAAAAACGCAACUUAGGAUGGCAGGUUGAUUUUAGAGAAACUCAGGGUCGAAACCGAAAUAAAAUAGGACCAAAACACAAAUGCUUUUGAACUGGAUUGGACUGCGGGUUGAUUUGCAGAAAAGGUGAGGGCUUAAGUGCAAAAGAGGCGCGACGCGGCGCGGUUGACUAGUACGCGAUCUAGUUGACCCGCUGUGGGCCGUCGGAUUUGGAUCCGACGGUCAUGGUCGUCGGCGACACUGAAGCGGUGGCAGAAAAAGGUGGCGGACGGCGACGAGCGGCGGCGCUUUGCCGGAGUUGGCCGAAACAGCGCUCCGGGGUUCGGUUUCGCGCGCGGAUUGCACGAGAUGGAUGCGGGGAACACGACGAACUCAUUUAGGGCUUUGGCGGGGGUUGCGGUGCGACGGAGCUCACUUUUUGGCGGCGGCUUGCGGCGGUGCUGCUAGGGUUUGGAGGGGCGAUGGCUGGGUGCUUGAGGCCGGGGGGGGUGCGGCGGCUUAAAUAGGGGCGUAUGGCGGCGGGAUACGGAUAGGAGAUGGACUCCGCGCGGAGGAAGCGCGCGGCGGUUGCGGGAGGUGGGCGGAGUCCGGGCGCGGUCGGGGAGAAGUCCCGGCCGGGUACGCCUGCCCCACCCGUCAGACCGGUGGAAGGGAGCGGGUCGGCGCUGCUUCGCGGGCCGUGGAGGAAAGGAGAUGGGCCGGUGAGGGAGAAACGUGGCGUGGGCCGGAGGAGCUGAGGGGAGGCGGGGCCGAAAAGGGAGGGAGGUCGGUAUGCUGGCCAGGCCGGCAGAACGGGCCGAGCAAACGAGACGGGCCGACAAGUGAAGGUGGAGCUGGUGGCGCUGGGCCGCAAGGAGUUGGAGCCGGGCUGAAAGAAAAAGGAGGAGGAGAAAGAAUGCAGCCCAAGAGGGGACAGUAAAAGAAAAGAAGAAAAGGAAAAGUUUUGGAAAUUGAAUUUGAGAUUUUGAAUUGGAAUUUGGAUCAAAUACAAUCAACCAAAAAUUAUGCACCAGCAUGAAUGUACAACAAACUCCUAUGAUGAAUUAAUUUAAUUUAGAGAAAAUGAAAAUUAAUAUGCCUAAGAAUUUAAAUGACAUCUUAAUUAAGCAAAUUUUAAUGAAUUUAAAUUAAGCAAAUUUUAAUGAAUUUAAAUUAAGCAAAUUUUAAUGAAUUUAAAUUCUUUAAAAAUUUGGUGUUACAAAUGCCAGGCUUUCGGGUCCGUGCACCCAAGUCCUAACAUGACGGAGAUUCUGGGUACCAUCCUAUGCCAAGUAGCAGAUGGUGCAAUGUCUGCUGGCAGUGGCACCGAACCUGCAGCAGAACAAAAUAUCAUCAACGACAUAUCAAUUUCCCUCUCUGACAAGAGGUACGCAACAUUGCAUCCUGUCCAUUCCCAUUCCCUUUGCGCUUGUCGAACAACCCGUUUGUGUUAUGGUACUAUCCUAAAAAUAGAACAUAUUAUGUUUGGAACGUUAGUCCAACAACCCGUGCAUCCACACAUAUUUUUAGAAAAAGCAUAGAUAAUUGAGCUUUGUGAAAGGCAUAUAAUUUAGUAAUAUUUAGAGGUGAUUAUGUUUUCUAAGUUUUUUACCAUGUUUCUUCUUCCUCCUAUGAUUAUGUGAAAGGUUUUAUGGAGUACUCAACAAAGUUUGCUAGUCCAUUAACCACGCUUUUGCACGGGAUAUAAAUUUUAAAAGAUUCAUAAGUAUUAAAAGCUCAUGGAUAGUUAAUCCGAAGUCUACGAGUAAUUGAGAAAUUGCUUAUCUUUGCUUUGUCUCCUAUUUAUUUAAUUUUUUUAAAACAAUAUAUACCCAUAUAGGUAUUUUCUUAUAAUCUUGUAUGUUGGUGAUUGGUGUUGAUUAAAAAUUACUUUAUAUGCCUUUUAAUUCACAUUCAUAGUCUUUUCAACUUUAGAUGAAACAUUAGUGAAGGACUGAGAUGGGCGACUGGGGGUGAAUAGGAGCCUCCAAUAAUUCUUUUAAAUAAUAAGGCCUAUAUCCCAAUUGCCACCCAAAACGCAUCUCGCUUCUAAUCAUCAAGAUGACACUAGUCAACUCGUGACAAUUUCAUCUUAGGAACGAUUAGAAACACUCGAAAGCGUAGCGGAAGCAAAGAAAAGCAAAACUUCGAAAAGUUUGCACGAGAUAUUGAUCUCAAACACUACCAAAUCAUUACUUGACUAAGCAUGCUUGAAAUAAUUAAUUAAGAAUUAAGCAUGAUUAACAAAGUGACAAAACUACUGAACAAGUAGCUAAUAAACAAGGUAGCACAGAUUAACUAGUAAUAAUUAACUAGCUCAAGUGAUAAAUUAAUAAUUGCAUGAAUUAAAGAACCGAGCAACCAAAGAAAAGCAACUGGGCUGCAGCUUGCUCACCUUGCUGGGCCGCUUGCACACUGCCACGGAAGAGCUCCUAGCUGCUGUGCUGAUGGGCGAGCCUGGUGCUGCACGGACCGGUGUGCUGGGCCGCCUGGCUCCGGCCUGCUACGUUGACAGGUCUGGAUCGCUCGAGCCUAGCCACGGCCUACUGGACUGCUCGGCCGCGCGGCUCCCUCCGGCGUGGCUGGGCUGCCUGGCCACCCGCGCUGGGCCGCCUGCCUGGUCAGCUGCUGCGCAGGCCAGGAAUUUUUUUAUUUUUAUAUUAUAAUAAAUAGUCGAAUAAAAAAUUUGUAAAAAUAGACGUUCGCUGCCGGAUCAAAUGGUGGUAAGAUCGCUUUUGCCGUAUGAAACGGAGGAAGGGUACCGGCCGCCACGUGCUGCCCUCCCUCGCCGGCUGAAAUGGUGGUAAGGACUCUUCCGCCAUUUCAACCAGUGAGGCAGCCCGGGUUGGCGACCUAUAGCCGGUUGAAACGGCUAUAACGACCCCUUCAGUUAUUUUCCCUUCAUUUUUCUGACUUUUAUCAAUUAUUUUUCCUUUAUUGUUUUAUUAUUUCAAUUAUAUAGUUGUAUCGCAAUACUUAACUUAGUAAUUUGAGGUUAUACCUCUAUCUUGAAUAUUGUUCCUUUAAAUUUUUAUAUGACAUUUUUUUAGAGAGGUAGAGUGAUUGCACGAAAUCAUUGAAAAUCAUGAAAUUCCGGCCUACGUAAAGUAGUCUGUGGAUACAAUUGUACAAUCAUGCGCGUUACAAUUGUACACAUGAUAGCUUGUACCGGCGUACAAAAGAUAAAAGAGGUCCUACAUACUAAAUGUGUUCUCGCUUGAAACGAAGCUGCCACCUCCCCCUCCCCGACCACGACCACGCCUCGCUGCCCACUGCGCUGCUCUGGUCUGCUGCUGGUCGUACGUCAAGAGCUCUCGUGGGGCAACGUUGCAAGGCGGACGUCCUACUGCGGCUGCAGAUGGUGUCCCGAGCUCCUGGGUCGCGUCCUGUGUAGGAGCCUUCGGGGCCUCACGCAACUACGAGGCACCGAUCACGUCAGGCUUAGGUCCGAAAAGAUUGUCCACCCAUGCAUGGAAGCCUGACAAGAUUGUCCACCCAUGCAUGGAUGUUGGACCUCUGUCCCUCCUCCUCGACGGAGUCCUCCGGAGCCUCUCCGUGGUCUGCGAACCCUGUUAUGCAACUAAGGAAAUGAUAUUGUUGGUUUCGUUGCAUAUUUAAAAUGGAAUAGAAAACAUGUAUUCGUUGUGCACCGAAGCGGUGUAGCUCUAUGCCUGGUGGUGCUAAAGAAGGCCCCGCUCCACUGUAAGCUCCGUACAUCUGCGGGCUGUGUUAAUAAAUUAUUAUUUAGUAAGGUGAAUUGAAAAAUAUUUCGUAAAUGGUGUACGACAAAAUAACGUACCGAAAGUGCAUUUCAAGUUUACCCCAAGAUGUGAUAAGAUGGUAUGGAUGUAAAAGUUUCUAUGCACCUUUUUUUAUAGGUACCUGGUAAUAAUCGAUGACAUUUGGCAUUGGGAAGAAUGGGAAGUCAUCCGAAAAGCUCUUUCCAAGAAUAAUAUGGGCUCUAAAAUAAUCAUGACGACUCGUGUCAAGGCUUUAGCUGACAAAUGUCGAACUGAACAAGGUGCACAUGUGUAUACACAGAGUUUUCAUCACGAGGACGCUAAAAGACUAUCAGACAUGAUACUGAACAAGUCUGUCGGAAGAGACAUACUUGAAGCCAAUGCGGAGUGGCUACCCAGAAAGAUUGUGCAUACGAGUGGUUUGAUGCCACUAGCAAUAAUCUGUUUGUCGUCAGCAUGGGCAGAGAGCCAUGGGCAAGACGACGACUAUGGGGAAUAUUGGUAUAUUUGGGUAAGUGAAGUGCUGAUGGAUAGGUUUCUGAGUACUCCAUCCUUGAAACCACUACUCCAGAGUUUAUGCCUUGUUUUCGACGAUCUUCCCGUUGAGCUGAGGACUUGCUUGCUGUACUGCAGCAUAUACCCUCUGGGUUACUUGAUUCAAAGGGGUUGCUUGGUCAGAAAAUGGAUACCCGAAAGAUUUGUUUCGCAACAAGAAGUAUCAGAAGCUUACUUUGACAAGCUUGUUUCUAGGAAUCUAUUGCAGCCGGUACCCAAAUACCAGAUCUUUUACAUUUCCACCCCAUAAUGAUAGCCUUCCUUGUAUGCAGAGCAAAAGAAGAUAAUUUUGUUGCUUGUCGGCAGCACAACAAUGGCCGCGGUAGCUCCUCGCACGCCAAACAGAUCCGUCGCCUUUCUCUCGACACGGAUUGCAUUCCAGAUGAGGAUGUAGUAUCUCAUAUUCGCUCCCUUGCUGUUCUUAGUGACCAACCCCACAUUGGUGUCCCCUUGAAGAAGUUUAAAAACCUGCGAGUGCUAGAAAUUGACAGCUGUAAACGUCUAGAGAACUUUUCUCUGGUGGAUAUAUGCGGGCUGAUCUGGCUGCGGUAUCUGGGUCUCAACGGCUGCCUUGAAAUCACAGAGAUCCCACGGGAGAUUUGGAGACUGCAGAAUCUGGAGACGCUAGAGGUGAGGAACACAGGUAUUUGUAAACUACCCAUGGAAAUUGGGACACUGGUGCAUUUAAGGACUCUGAAUGUAAGUGGCACAAUGGUCACAGAGGUUCCAAGGGAAAUCACCGGACUUUCUCGUUUGGAGAAUCUGGAUGUAAGCUCGACAGGGCUGAAAGAGUUGCCUAAGGAAGUAGGAAAACUACAGGAGUUGAGGACUCUGGACAUUAGAGUGACUAAAGUCAGAGAGCUACCCCGCAGGGAAAUUCCAAAUUCUUUUUUAAGUGUGGUCGGCCACUUUGAUUCGAGUUCUGGUCGAGUGGUGAAGUUGCCUCUGGGUGUCUUCAGAUCAAGUGGUGAUGAACAGGUUAUUUCCUCUUCUGGAGCAAAUUUCAGGGAGAGCCUAUCCAUCCUCGUGCUCUUUAAUCAUCUCUACAAGAGGUGUGAAGUUCUUCCAGUUCCGAUGCAUAGAGUUGCCGGGAGACACAUGAAAGUCCCGCAGUGGGUCAAGCAAGACUUGUGCAAUGUCUGCUCCUUAGAUAUCAGUCUCUGCAAACUGGUGGAGGAAGACCUCGAGUUUCUGAAGACGCAGAUGCCCAACCUGCAGGCUCUCCAACUAAGGUUCGAGGUCCUCCCACGGGAGCCGGUUGCCAUCACUGGUGGAGGGUUCUUGAAGCUAGAGACGUUCUACGUCGAUUGCCGUCUGCCACGGGUGAUCACCUUCUGGGAAGGAGCGAUGCCGAAGCUGAAACAUCUUGAGUUCAAGUUCUACACCGGCACGGCAAGGCAACACUACUCCAUGGGAAUCAGGCAUCUCGACAGCCUUGAGAAGGUCGUGUUCCGAUGCUCCGAGUACUAUACAAGUCACGGUCCGGGCAUCCGCGAGACAAUUGAUGUACUGAGAAAAGAAGCUGCGGAGCAUCCCAACAAGAUCACCCUUUGGGUCAAUAACAUGAAACCUGAGGUUUUCCUCAAGACAAUUGAUGUACCCUUUAAAGAAUGGAAACGUGAACAACGUCUUCGACUAUCGACGGCAGCAGAGGUGCGAGCUCAGCGGGACAAAAACAACGCAAGGGCUGGAACUGAAAAGAAAAUUCAAGAAAGGAAAAGCAAUCUUGAAAUCAGGGAACGACGAUUGAGGGAAGCAGAGCGCUACUAUAACAUAUAAUAAUUGCUGCAAUAAUGGAUUUACGUUUUAUGCACUUGUUCGCUGGGCCUAAACAAAAACAUAUUAUAUCUUUUUUUUUCAAAAUCGGACCUUCCUUCUCCAUGACUCUAUGUGACAUUAUCUGUACGCACACUUGAUUGUCAUUAUUUUUCCAGUUUAGUUUCUCUUCGUCAUAUGCAGCGCUAGCUUGCACCAUGCAUGCGCACACUAAACAUUCCGUAUGCCUUGUUCCUAGCAACUUAUCCGUCCAAUCAUUCAGAUAAAAGUCGUCACCAUGUGAGUAUGAUUCACGCUAGUGAUCCAGUUCUGUUAAUUAUUUGCUUCCGUAUUAAAUAGAGUUUUAAAAUAUUUAAAGUUCAUUAAGUAAUAAACUAAGGGAAAAAACCGAACUGAAUUUAUUUAAUAACACUUGGAAGCUGUUCUAAGAGGGAUAGAGGGAUAAUAAAUAACUUAAUUUGAAAUUAUGUAUUUCAAAAUAUGUAGCACUUGAUCUUGUAAAUAUUAAACUAAACCUUAUAUAGUGUGCUUGUUGAGUUUCGUAACAUUUAAAGUUCAAACGCUAUUUUUAUUGAGAUGUUCCAAGUAGGUAUAUUUAACUAAACCCUAAGCAGGAUAUAGGAAUAAUAAAUAGCCUACUCUAAAAUUUAGAAAUUUCAAAAUAUAUGGCACUUUGGAACAUGCACACCAUAGUGUCACGCAAUGAAAAUAUUUGUUUGGAGGGGUUGUUUUUAAAAUAUUAUUAAAAAUGGUUAAAUUAAAAAAAUUUGCUUAUGUUUGGUUCUGCUCUAGGCAUGGCCGCAAUGUGCGAAUCCUCUCUCUGUUGGAGGGAUUGGAUGGAUGCUGCCGAUGAGACAAGGAAUUGAAACGGGCCAAAAUAAGUUCUCCUAUGAAGCGGGUCUGGGCCUAGUCAUCUCCGCCUGAGUGAACAGGGCUGCCCGCCAGUCCAAGAAUGAAACUCUCUCUGCACUGGGGUCGCAGAAGAAGAUGACGCGUGCAGCCGCGUCAAUGCUUUUCUGUUUUGCAUAUAUACCUCCUCAUCAAAAUACUGUGUACUGAUCCAUAUAAGCACGUAAAAGACUAAUCUAAUAAAAAAAGACAGCACAAUUAUUCAACUUGUCGCGAUCAGAUAAUUAUGCACAGCGCAAUUAUUAAUCGGAAUGGGUCUAUCGAUUAUUCGAUUUGCAAGAUGGCGCUGCUCGAGGAAAGCAUGACCGGAUUAUACCUAGCAUCCUGAACGGAAAAUGGUGGUGCAGAUGCUGAUGCAGAGCACUCUGCCUUGACAUGGAAUGGUACAGAGCUGAGCUCCCGUCUCGGAUUAGUUCCCUUCUCGGAUUUGUAUCUCGUGCGCAGGAGCCUGAGACCAGAUCGAAUUCGUUUCGGCUUCAAGCGGGCCUGGCCCUGGUCUUCUGUCUAAGGCCCGCUUAUAUAUAGAAAGAUAAAAAACGCAAUGAUCUUGGAUUCUUCGUUAAAGCUAACCCUCAGGAGAUCGUCAUCAGGUACCAAAAAGGGUCAAGUUAAAGAUUUAAGGUAAUUCUUCCUGCCUCCUCAUCAGAUGAAAUUUAGGUGCACAGCUUGACGGUCCCCAUGUUCUCACUUGGCCUUGUGCUGCCGUCACUUUUGUUCAGUGUUUUCCAUCUUCAGCUCAUCUGUACACAACUACAGACAUUAGUUUGACACUUUUUGCUAUCCUUGCACAACUGGCGGCAUAAUGAACGCUCCAGUAGUGUUCUUGUGCAGUCACACAGCUAGUGCUUCAUUCAUGUAUUUAUAACCCCAACAAACACUGGAACGAUGUAGCUAGCAGCUCCAGCCAUACAUGAUAGAACGCGAAACACUAAUCAAUAAACAACCAAAAAAAAAACCUCAGCCUAUUUUGGUCGAACACAACAUCUAACCACAAAUUAUUGUCGCCUUCCGAUCCCCGGUCCGUCGCCACCUCCCCGGCCGAAUGAAGAGGCACUCGAUGCUAAGACUGUUGACGAAGAGGCACUCGAUGCUCCCACUGCUACAAAAGCUGAGGUUAAAACAGAACCUGAGAAUCGGGAGGAUGAGAAAACUAGCAAGCAUUUAGGGAGGAGCAGUGCUAGUUCGAACCAAGGAAGCACGAACGGUUAUGCCUCAGCAGCACCAGGCCUUAACGAACAGGAAGCCAACUCUGCAUUGAAAAUCAUGCACGAGUUAUCUGAUCAUCAGUUGGAGCAAAUAGAGAAGCACCUGGAUUCCAGCACCCAUGUUGCUGCCGUGAACUGUCCACAGCAAACUCAAAUGGUUAUGGUUUCCAUGCCUGGCUAUACUUUGGGAGAACACGCAGGUCGCAGCCAAAGGCAGUACCACGUCGAUGGUCAGGGGAACAUGUGGAUCAACUACGCCGCGAACAGCCACAUGGAUGGGAGAGUCAUGACACAGGCGGCGGGUCUGCAAACUGCGCAUUUGUUGCCAGGUCCCGUCUCCGUCCCCGUGCCUGUUCCUGAGAACAACUUGGCAGGUGUUGAAGUUGGUCCAGCUCCAGGAUGGAAAUGGGACACCGCUGAACGCGUACUGAUAUGCGACAUGGGCGAUGCCCCAGGUCUCAGACUGCCAGAAGAGGUGCUGCACCCCCGACUUUUUUUUAUUUUGACCCUUUUUGCGAAAAAAUUUCAUAAAUAGGUCCCUGAUGAAACCAAUUCCAAAAAUGGACCCUUAGCUUGGCACCAGGAUGGCUGGCACCAAGCUAUAACGUUUGGCGCCAGCCUCCAUGGCGCCAAGGUCCGCGCACCGCGCCUCCACCGUGGCGCCUGGCCUCUGACGUGGCGCAAAGGUUUGGCGCCAAGAUCUAUGGCGCCAGCCUUGGCGCCAUAGAUCUUGGCGCCACCGACGCCAAGCCUUUUAACUACGGCGCCACCCUUCCUUUACGCGGCCCUUUCUUUCUUCCACCAUUCCACGACUUAGUUGCGCCGCCACCACCGUCCGCUCGCGUCGCCGCCGCCCCGCCUGCCCCCACCCCCGGCCAGCUCAAGCGCCCGCCGCCGCCCGCGCGGAGAGGAGGCCGGCCGGCGCCCGAAGCCGCCCCCGACCGUCGGCGCCGAGCUCACCCUCGAUCGGCCGGCUGUUGCCGCGCCUGGCGCUCGCCCCGGUUGCUCCUGCGCCCGUCGCCGACUUGCUGGAAGGCCGCCCGCUGACCGCCNNNNNNNNNNNNNNNNNNNNNNNNNNNNNNNNNNNNNNNNNNNNNNNNNNNNNNNNNNNNNNNNNNNNNNNNNNNNNNNNNNNNNNNNNNNNNNNNNNNNNNNNNNNNNNNNNNNNNNNNNNNNNNNNNNNNNNNNNNNNNNNNNNNNNNNNNNNNNNNNNNNNNNNNNNNNNNNNNNNNNNNNNNNNNNNNNNNNNNNNNNNNNNNNNNNNNNNNNNNNNNNNNNNNNNNNNNNNNNNNNNNNNNNNNNNNNNNNNNNNNNNNNNNNNNNNNNNNNNNNNNNNNNNNNNNNNNNNNNNNNNNNNNNNNNNNNNNNNNNNNNNNNNNNNNNNNNNNNNNNNNNNNNNNNNNNNNNNNNNNNNNNNNNNNNNNNNNNNNNNNNNNNNNNNNNNNNNNNNNNNNNNNNNNNNNNNNNNNNNNNNNNNNNNNNNNNNNNNNNNNNNNNNNNNNNNNNNNNNNNNNNNNNNNNNNNNNNNNNNNNNNNNNNNNNNNNNNNNNNNNNNNNNNNNNNNNNNNNNNNNNNNNNNNNNNNNNNNNNNNNNNNNNNNNNNNNNNNNNNNNNNNNNNNNNNNNNNNNNNNNNNNNNNNNNNNNNNNNNNNNNNNNNNNNNNNNNNNNNNNNNNNNNNNNNNNNNNNNNNNNNNNNNNNNNNNNNNNNNNNNNNNNNNNNNNNNNNNNNNNNNNNNNNNNNNNNNNNNNNNNNNNNNNNNNNNNNNNNNNNNNNNNNNNNNNNNNNNNNNNNNNNNNNNNNNNNNNNNNNNNNNNNNNNNNNNNNNNNNNNNNNNNNNNNNNNNNNNNNNNNNNNNNNNNNNNNNNNNNNNNNNNNNNNNNNNNNNNNNNNNNNNNNNNNNNNNNNNNNNNNNNNNNNNNNNNNNNNNNNNNNNNNNNNNNNNNNNNNNNNNNNNNNNNNNNNNNNNNNNNNNNNNNNNNNNNNNNNNNNNNNNNNNNNNNNNNNNNNNNNNNNNNNNNNNNNNNNNNNNNNNNNNNNNNNNNNNNNNNNNNNNNNNNNNNNNNNNNNNNNNNNNNNNNNNNNNNNNNNNNNNNNNNNNNNNNNNNNNNNNNNNNNNNNNNNNNNNNNNNNNNNNNNNNNNNNNNNNNNNNNNNNNNNNNNNNNNNNNNNNNNNNNNNNNNNNNNNNNNNNNNNNNNNNNNNNNNNNNNNNNNNNNNNNNNNNNNNNNNNNNNNNNNNNNNNNNNNNNNNNNNNNNNNNNNNNNNNNNNNNNNNNNNNNNNNNNNNNNNNNNNNNNNNNNNNNNNNNNNNNNNNNNNNNNNNNNNNNNNNNNNNNNNNNNNNNNNNNNNNNNNNNNNNNNNNNNNNNNNNNNNNNNNNNNNNNNNNNNNNNNNNNNNNNNNNNNNNNNNNNNNNNNNNNNNNNNNNNNNNNNNNNNNNNNNNNNGGGUUUGGCGCCCGCCGCCGCUCGCCUGAGGCCUUGCCCGCGAGGAGAGGAGGCCGGCCGGUGCCCGAAGCCGCCCCCGACCGGCCCGCUCAAGCCCGCCCCCGACCGCCCGGCCGCCGCCCCGCCCGUCCUCGCCCCCGGCCGGCUCCAGCGCCCGCCGCCGCCCGCCAGAGGCCGCCCGCCGCCGCCCGCGCGGAGGCCGGCCGGUGCCCGAGCCCACCCCCGCUGUUGUGCCCCUCCGGCCGGGCCCCCGCGCCCGUCCUGCCAGGAAGGCGGCCGCCUCGCCUAGGCCCCCACAGCCAGCCCACCAGGAAGGCGCCCACCUCCGGCCAGAGGCUGCCCGCGGCCUCCCCGCCCCCGACGUUGUGCGCCCUCCCUGCCCGGCGCCCGACCUCCGCCGGUGUGAAGGACUCAGGUAGAAUCUAGCUAGAAUUUAGAUUGUUAGGUAGAAUUUAGAUAGGUAGAUGAAAAUAGUUAGAUAGAUAAAUUAGAAUUAGAUUGUUAGGUAGAAUUUAGAUAGGUAGGUAGAAUUGGUAGAUGAAAUAGUUAGAUACAUAAAUUAGAAUAGUUAGGUAGGAUUGUUAGAUAUGAAAACUAAUUUAUUUUGGUAACUUAUUUUUAUUUUUAUGAAUUGCAAUGAUAGAAGGAAUAGAGAAUGCUUGUGACACUAUUUAACUAGAUGGAUGUCCAAUUUUGUUUACGUAGUUAGAUGUAUAGUUAGUUACAUAGUAAACUAGUUAUUAUGAUAUUUUGUUAAGUAGUUGCACAUAUUAGGUGAUAUAGUUAGCUAGUUUUAUGAUAUAGUUAGCUAGUUGUAUGAUAUAGUUAGUUAGUUGUAUUUAGUAGUUAGUAGUCAAUUGAUACUAUCUCAUUUCAUACUAGAGAUCUUGUACUUAGAAUGCUUCAUUUAUUAUGCACUAAAUGAAUUGUGCGUCGUUAUAUUGAUGUACUAGAUGGAGAACGUAGUGAGCAUAUAUCACGGAGGCACCGUGGAAAAGGAUGAAUAUGGAUGUGUUAAGUUUGUUGCCAUGCAGUGCGAGGUUGUGAUAUUUGAUGAGAAACCUUCGUUUAGUGAGUUGCUUUCAAGGGCUCGGGAGGAGCUACAUUGUCAUGGAGAUGAUGAAAUCACAGUCGAGGGCAUACUUCACCUAGGUUCCCCUCUCAACAUUCAAAAGAAGAUGGUCCCAAUUCGGUGUGCAGGCCAGUGGGAAAAAUAUGUGAGAACGGUUAUGAAUGGUCAUUCCCCAAGUGUUGAAGUGGUUGUUUGUCGGGUGGGAGUUGAUCCAAAUCCUUGUCGGUUUUCCCGACCAAUGGGUCAACUGGUACACUUCGAUCCUCCCGUCCCAGAACCUGUUAUGGACGUGGAUGUUGCACCUACUAUUCCCGAUGUUGAAUCUGCCUCCAAUGAAGUAGUUGGACAUGGUUGUCGGAUUGUUGAUGAUGUGGCGAUGCCCCGGUUCUCAGUACUGCCAGAAGAGGUGCUGCACCCACUCAGAAUGCGCUUAGGGUCGGCCAAAUGGAUGUGAUGCUCGGCGUGCAAGCCACGGGAGGCAUGGCGUACGGAGCUGCCACUGCUGCUGUGAACCCUGAGGUCUUGUACCACGCAGGUCCGGAGCUUGAGCAGCUGAACCCUGCAUGGUUCCCCCACGUCCAGCACGACGGCAUGCACCACCACGGAGGAAGCGGUGGCACCGGCGUGUACUUGCUGGGGAUGGACGGUGGCGCUGGCGCGCACGCUCACGGCGGCGGCGGCUAUAUGACUGGACCACCAAUGGUAGGCCCCGUGCACCCUGAGUAUGAGCUGAUGCCUGCAGUUGUGUCCCCUGUUGCUGUCUGGAGCGAUGGGGGGAGCGCCAUGGUGCCUGCAUUAGGGCAUCCGGCUGAGACUUGGGGACCGGCGUACGUGGAGCACGUGUACUAUGCCUGAUCGCCUGAUUUGCAGUUGCAACGCUUGUCGCAUUGUCUGAAAAUUAGCAUCUCUUGUUGUGUUUUGCACUUUUGCUUGACUCACAACUCUGCCCUGGCUAUGCUUGGAGGCUGUACAACUCUGCCCUGUCUAUAUCACUUUGUCUAUCAGCGAAUGUGCGGCGCGUGAAUGUUUCGGAGCAUCUAUUGCGUAUGAUAUCUUUAACGAUUUGGAGUUGGAGCAUCCGUUUGCUCUGUUUUUUUUCUUCCAACUUCAAUUCAGUCUUGUAACGACGCUGCAGCGUGCUCGCUUCUAGGAUGGAUUCUGUGUCACCUUUGCGGCCUUAUCAUGUAUGGUACCUGAACGAAAUUCGUGUGCUAUUUUGUUAGCUGAAUUAUCGUGAAGAAGCAGAACGAACCUAGGUAAAAGCCGGGGCAUUCCUUUGGCCGGAAUCUGAAACGGGAACCGGGGCAUGGCCAGAGGCUUCGGUGCAGAGCCCAGCUUCGACGCAGCGAAUACCUACCCCCCCAGCUCGACUCCGGCGUCCGCUCGUGGCCGCCGGCGUGACCAGUGACGAUGUGGGCCAGCACAUAUAAGCACGGGGCGUUGCGAGGCGGCAUGGGAAUGGUUACAGAGUGGAUCGAUUGAGCACCACAGCUCCCAUCCCCACAUGUAAGAAUUAUUGCUAUCAAACAAAUGUAGUAACUAUGGAUAUAUGAGGGCAUGCGAGUGGAUUCUGUGAAGCUUGAAGGCGUAUUGAUCAGUUGAUUUUGUCAUGCUCAUCCACAGAGAGGAACAAAUACUUCAAGAAGCUUGUGUGGUAGUUCUGCUAAUUAAGGAUACAUCAUCUAAUUUUCUGGACAUGGUCAGGAGGGUAGUCAUCUACACUCUCCAGCUGAGUUUUUGUCAGUUAUUGUCAUAAAAAUAUGAAAAAAGUUGGGAAGUUGAACCUUUUUCCAACAUCUCACCGCAAGCGCAUGCGACAACUGCUGAAGUCCAGGUAUGUAGUAGUCAUUCUACAAGUGCUGAAUGUGCCCUGAGAUCUUUAUAAAGAUGAACCAGUACUUUGCACUUUUUUUAGAAACUUGCACAAAGUCUAAUUGGAUAUUUGGGGUAGGCAAGUGUGCAUUAAUGAUAAAUUUGGAUUCGAUUAAUGGAAGGUAAAUAUUACCUUAUCUCCCAAAACAAUGAACAUGCCUGUUAUCAUGGGCAUUAGGCUAGUCCCAAUGCAAGGUUUCAUUGCACUAUUUUCAAGGAUGCCACAUCAUCUCAUGAGGUGUAUUCUCAUGAAUGAAAUCGGGAGUCCCAGUGCACAGUUUCAUUUCACGAUUUCAUAGGAUGCCCAUGACAUUUAAUUGUGAGGCAUGUGAUUGGAUAUGGUUAGAUAAAAUGAAACUCUAUAGCCCCCAAUGCAAGUUUCAAUAGGUUUCAUAGUCUUGGAAACAGUGUAUACACAGUUUCAUCCUGAUGAAACUCCUUCCCUCUCUCACUUCAUAACUAUUAUGCCAUGUCAUCAUAUAUGCUGAUGUGUUACCGUAUUUAAUGUGCAUGAAACCUCUAUGAAACUCCCACUGGGAUUAGCCUCAGGAUGAAACUGUGUAUACACUGUUUCCAAGACUAUGAAAUGUCAUCUCUGGAUGAUGCAACCAAAUUAAUGUAUAUAUGUCCGGUAAUUAACGUUGUGUUUAAAUUUUUUCGGUGCCGGCAAAACAAGGCGUCUCCAAAAGGUAUGUCUUUUAGUCACCGUGUCACUGUAACAUUAAUCAGUUUAACAUUCAAAUGAGUGAAGGGCAUCUUAGCAUGGUAAUUUCAUGCCUACUUGGCACUUUUGGCAACGUGCAAGAGUUUUUUUGUCUUCGAUUCCGGAGCCAUACUAGCGCACGCGAUCCGUGGGCCUCGCAAUUCUAUGCAUAUAUUAAGUAAGGUACAGGCACAGUUGCUUUUCAAAAAGCAACUGCUCUGCAAAUAAUCGUUGAUGACUUCACCAAGUCAACGUCUUCGUCUUAGCCGGGCGCUCAUUCCACUAGCAAGGUACUAAGCAGUCAUCUCUAGUCCAAAACUCAAGUAUCCUUGCUGCUAUCAGUGAUCCCUGCUUGUUUGCUUUCUCUUUUUGACCUUUUCCAAGUCCAAAUGCUCCACAUGCUUUGCCUGAAAGAGGGCACUGCUUGGAAUGUGGACUUAUUGUAUGGACAUGUUGCCUCGGCCAUUCCACUAAACAAUGAUUUUUAUGAAAAAUCCCAAAAGGUGUGAGUUUUCGUGUUAAGUCUAAAAUGAACCUUCGCAUAGUCCCAGGUCUGGUCAGCACAGAUUGACGACUGUGAGGGUCGGAGACCCUAUUGAUAUAUUUGCUUCGUGCAAACUUUCCUGGGGUAAUAUCCGCGAGGCGUAUGAUAGUAACCUUAUUUGGAUCCUAGUAUAUUUGUGGAUGGACCUUGAUAUAUAGCUAGUAAACACUAGUAGGGUCAGCAAAGCAAUACAAUUAAUGCUCAUGUGUUAUGAUUCCUUCUACUACUUGUUUAAGACUCCAUGACACUGAAGAUAAUUUUAGGAUGUUCAUUCCAUAUAUACCCACUUGCCACACUUUAGCACAACCUGUAUGACCUUUAACCUAAUCAUGCGACAGAAUGAUCACUUUAUAGCACCAAACUGAAAUUUGAUACAUUGACCUCACAGAAGUCGUCGUCUAAUCCUGAGGCUGAAUCGACUUAACCUUUAAAUACCACCCCAUCAGUACUGGUUCAAUAUGGUAUUAUAUUUGUAGUUUGAUUAAUGGCACAUAUAGUAUUACGUCUUGGAAUGAUUGAUGGACAUACGGAUAGUUUUGUAUGUAUAAGGUUGUUGAAGUGAUAAAAAUAUUAAGUCAUCGUGCAUAUACAACGGUCGGUAAAGACAUCUCGAACGCCAAAAUCAUCAAUCUUUUGUGUGUGUUUGUGUAUAUAUAGUACUUUAUUACAUCUUUGUAAUAUCAUCAGAUUAAAUCUAGCUUUGUCCAUAUAGUCUCCAAAAGGCAUGUCUAGUCAUGGUCACUCUAACGAAACUACCUGCACGGUGAAGUCUUCAAGCCCUGAGUCGCUACGAGAGCCUCCGAUCAGUGAGCCUCGCAAGUCUAUAUACCCAAUCAUGCAUGCGAUAGGUCGAAUGCCACUAUAGUUAGCACUUUAUAUAACCAAACUGAAUUUGAUACCUUGAGCUAUGGUUAGUUUACACCUAAUCCCAAGGUUAAGUACCACCUAUACCUAGGUUCAUUGCAUUUUUCCACGAGCAAAGUACAGCGUUAACAAAUUGAGUGUUUUGGAAUCAAUGCUCCACGCAUCUCUUCAAGUUGAAGGGUGGCUUCAACUUGUGCCGUGAGCAAGUUUAUUUAAUGAACUAAGUUGAAACACUGCAUCAACCGGCGUGGACGCACACCAUGGUACGAGCAGGAAGACUUGAAGGUUACCACCGUGGACCAGAUCUGGCACUGCAAGGGAAAUCUGCUCACCGAUGAUCGGGGUAAUGCGCUCAAGGACUUGUGCCUCUCUAUGGCACUCUCAAAGAUGCUCAACCGAAGGUUUGAUGGGUUCAAGCUCUCUAAGGCAGAGCUUCAGAAAACCCAUGACUUCGUCUUCAAAGGCCUUCUCGCCGGGGACGAGCCACAUCUGCGGGCCUUCAGGGUUAUUGAGGAGGAGCUUGUUUUUGUCCAUGACAUGUAUUACACAAGGUACUCUUACCUUUACCAAAAGGGUAAAUACCUGGCUCUCUGUCUGCCUGUCAUCAUGAUUGCCCUAUGCUCGUGGCUCACAGUAGCCUGCCUGGACGUCAAGUAUCAGGACGACCGUUAUCGCAGUAAUCAUGGCAAGCGCAGUCUGAUGUCUGAAACCAUAGUCAUAAUGGUUGUCUUGGCAUUCCUGGAGGUAUACCAGCUGUACCUGUACAUAGCCUCAGGUUGGUUUAAGGUGGCACUGAUACGGAGCUACGUCGCCGCACCUUAUUUCCAAACAAGCUGUUUCUCCGAGAUGAUCAUACGUCUUCUCUUGAUAUGGAAGGCGUUUCGCCCAUGGAAGGGCAGACUUGGGCAGUACUGUUUCCUGGAAAAUCUUGGCCGCAGAAGUAAGCUUAUGAGUUGUCUCCAUUAUGGUACACUGGGCUUGCUGGACAAGGCCAUGAAGGGAAGGAAGAAUUCAGUGAAGCUGUCCGAAGAUGUGAAGAAAGCCAUCAUUGAUUCCCUACUAGAAAGCAAUGGAGUCCUGACGAACGGCGUAACAUCGCUGCAAAAGAAUGGCGUCCAUGAUGACCUCAAAUGGCCAUGCGAUGCCACGGCUACUGACGGAGCGGUGGCUCGCACCAUUGUGGUCUGGCACAUUGCUACAACCCUGUGCGAGCAGAAGCUGGAUAAACAAGCCAAAGAAGAAGACGCUGUCAAAACAGCCUCCACUUUAUCCAAGUACUGCAUGCAUCUCCUUGCUUUUGCACCUAACCUCUUGCCCGACCACAGCUCCAUAUCGGAAUCCAUACUUGAUCAGUCAAUCGAUGAAGCAAGCAAGUUACUCAAAGAGGGCAAGAACAAGAAGAUCAAGGGCAAGGACAAGAAGAUCAAGGGCAAGAACAAGAAGAUUUUGGGAAGGUGUGAGAUACUAAUGGAAACUACUAAUACCGAUGGUUGUGUUGAUGAUGAAACAAGGCUUGUUGCGCAGGGCGUUCACCUUGCAAGGCAACUGAUUGAUAACAUACAAGACUCCACAACAAGGUGGAAGGUGCUAUCUGAUUUCUGGGCGGAGAUGAUGCUGUAUGUCUCGCCAUCCGAUGAUGCUCGGGACCACCUGGAAGUUCUUGCAAAAGGAGGGGAAUUCAUCACGCACCUUUGGGCGCUGCUCACGCAUGCCGGUGUGCUGAAGAGAGGCCCUACAGAGCCAAUAGAUGCUGUCUGAUCUUUCCAACUUAACCAGUGCACACGUAGCAGUCCAUAUAUCUACCUAGUGCUUGUAACAUUCUAUGUAUAUUGCCAACUGUCAUGUUUGGACACACCAACUUGUGGCACACCAUGUGUGAGUUAGUCUACCGAGGUCUGUAUCUCUUUUCAUGUCGAGUCUGUAUCUCUUUUGAUGUGGUGUCUGUUGUCAGAUUUUGGGCAGAGUAGGAUCUUUAGUAUCUGCAAGUUUUGUUAAGAAGAGCGCGCUUUCAGGUUGUCGGACAUGCGCUUUCAUAGUUUGUGAUUUUGGUGAUUAAUAUCAAAACACGAUCAUUAGGAGUGUCUAGAACAUGCCUUGAAGGUAUUCUAGGUUCUAAGGAAACAACCACAACCAAAGAUAAGAAAAGGAACGAAGAAAUCCAAGGAAACGGAUCAUCGGAUGUUCCGAUGGCCCUAGAGAUGGCGACGGAGCAAGCGUCGGAGUAAAUGGUACACUGCAAAGAAGUUCGGGCAGAGUCCACAAUCGGAUGUUCCGAUGGUUACAUUUCUAGUAGCGUCGGAUGAAUUCUGAGGGGUAGGCUUGAAAGCAUGUGUUGGAUGAUGUAAGCAUGCAGUCUUUGGAUGAUGCAACCAAAUUAAUGUAUAUAUGUUCGGUAAUUAAUGUUGUGUAUAAAUUUUUUUCCGUGCCAGAAAAACAAAGUGUCUCCAAAAGGCAUGUCUUUUAGUCACAGUCACUGUAACUGAAUUCUUUGCGUAGUUUGUUGUUGCUUAACUGCACACAUAAAUCAGUUUAACAUUCAAAUGAGUGAAGGGCAUCUUAGCAUGGUAAUUUCAUGCCUACUUGACACUUUUGCAACGUGCAAGACUUUUGUUGGUCUUCGAUUCUGGAGCCAAAGCUACUAGCGCACCCGAUCGAUGGGCCUCGCGAUUCCAUGCCAAAUCACGUGAUAGAAUGCCACUAGUUAGCACUUAUAGCACCAAACUGAAUUUGGUGCCUUGACCUAGGAUUAGUUUACACCCAAUAAUCCCAAGUUUUUUAUGUACCGCCAUAUAAAAUGCAAUUUAUUAAAACUGGUGAUGAAUGUGAUGCGACAAAAAUAUAGUACUUUUAUAUUGAUGUGUCAUCAACUUGGUGAUCAUUCCGAGUUUAUCAAGAUUCCAACCUUAGAGUUUGGAGGGGCUCUUUCUUCAAAGAUUAUUAACCCAGGCACGAUGGCAGACAUACAAUUAAUUACUGCAUGUGUUCUAGUCAGUAGGAUGGGUUAUCAGGUUUAUUAAAUACGUACUGAGGCGUAGCAUAUAUUGCAACUAGCAACAAUUUUAGCUUGUCAUCUUAAUUGUAUGUUUGCUUUCCAUGCAUUGUUCAUAUACCGUAUUUAGAUAGCAAAUUUUGCUCUUGCUCGUUUGAAGGUAAUCCUAUAUGUAUCCACGAGACAUAAAGUCGCUGAGCUUCGUCAGUCCAAAACGCACUAACUAGUUAGGUUGAGUGUUAGCAGUUUCCAUUGACAUACGAUCACCUAGUCUGGCAGCUAGAACGUGCGUGGAGUAAGAGUUAAGUAAGUUACAUACACACUGUUGUGACCCGAAACGUAUGAGAGUAGAUCAUCAUCAUUACAGUUGGAUGGAACUCUCUAUUUAUAGCCAUAGCGGCAGGCAUUUACAUUCCACAAAUGCCCCACCUCAACCACUAUAUUCCCGUUAUAUGCUCUACACAAUGGUCAUUUGGACAUCACGUUUUUUGUGCCACCUAACAGUUCCCUGAUUGACGCUCACUUAUCACCUCCGCGAAUCUCGGUAGGGUUGUCCGCACCUUUUUCCGUGUUCUUCAUCGUCGACGGCGACUAACUAUGGCACCAAGUUUGUCAUGUUUAGUGAAUCUAGAUAAGGACCUGGAUGUAGAAGCAAUGAUCGAAGAUGAGCUAAAAAAUCUGUCUGACAGUACAAGAAGAGGGAGCAGGAUUACCAAUCUGAAAGAACAGAGUUAUAAAAGGUCAUCAGACCCGCUGUUGGGGCUAAGGAAGAUAGGGAAUGGAUCCCGCUUCUGGCCAUUAACAGAUGAGGUAAGCUCGGAAGAUGAGCUUGAGGAUGACAAUUCUGUUGAAAAUGGAGAGGAUGACAGCUAUGCUGAAAUUGGAGAUAAAAAACCCCAUCUGACUUCAAUGGGAUGUAACUCAGAAACAUUACCAAGUAGUAGGAGUAUGGUGAUGGGAUACAAAAUCAAAAUCCCACAUAGGGCUAAAGAGAAAGGCAGUGGUAAAACAAGAGUUACUAAUAAGAAAAUCAAAACAUGGAAAGGUCCAUUGCCAAAAAGAGAUCAAACACCGAAAUUGUCACUAGGGGACAUGUGGGUGAAGGAUCUUAGGACAUAUGUGCUGCCAAAAGAAAACAUACGUCUUAAUUCAUUCUUGGAUGGUGAAUCAAAAGUUCUGGUAGCCGAUGAAGUUUCUGUUGAAGAAAGCACAUUUGCAAAGGAUACAAAGGAGUUUGAAUUUCAAAAUGAACAGUUGGUUAACCUUCAAGGACCAAUAAGAUGGGUUGGAUAUACUGGUUUUGUACACGUGGGAGCACAUUCAGUUUUCCAAUGCAUUGAUAGUUUGGGACGACUCCUUAAAAAUGGAGAAUUGAGGUGGAGACCUCAACCCAAACACAACCACAAACAAAUUCACAGAACAAUCCCCUCGAAGAAACAGAAGAGGAACUAGCCUCGGCCCUCAAACAGCUAAAAGCAUUGAAGAAGGAGAGCAGAGGGAGGGAGAGGAUAAGGGACCGGAGGGCCGGUGCACUAAAUUUAAAAGCCGGAGGGAGGUGAGGCGCGGAUGAAGGUACCUUUUAAUACCGGGUGGGGGUUCCACCUGGUACUAAAGGGUCACCUUUAGUGCCAGGUGGAGCCUCCACCCGCUACUAGGGCCUUUAGAGGUGUUGGAGUGGACACUUGUUGUCAGUUUACACAAGAUCUCAUGGCCAAGCUGAACUUAGGAUAAAAAUUAAAUACAAAAAGAAAAAUAAUUACUCAUAGUUUCCUCAGCUUGAAUAUUUGCACUGAAAAAAAAAGCUUUCACGCUGUCAAGAGGGAGUGAAAAUGAUUAGUUCUGUCGGCUGUUGCGUAGUGCUUUAAUGUCAGCUGCUUAAAAAAAACAUGUUGGAUGCUGAUCUUUAUUAUCACAUAUUAACAGGGCAAGUGGUAGUAUGUUAUAAAGAUUAGUCGUGACAUCAUUAGGAAUGAGAUGAGUCCGCAGUUGGCUGAAGUUGGAAGCAAGGAAUUUGUGUAUGUAUAUGUGUGUGUAUAUAUAUAUAUAUAUAUAUAUAUAUAUAUAUAUAUAUAUANNNNNNNNNNNNNNNNNNNNNNNNNNNNNNNNNNNNNNNNNNNNNNNNNNNNNNNNNNNNNNNNNNNNNNNNNNNNNNNNNNNNNNNNNNNNNNNNNNNNNNNNNNNNNNNNNNNNNNNNNNNNNNNNNNNNNNNNNNNNNNNNNNNNNNNNGUUUGCAUCUGGAACCGCAGUUUCCAAUUCCGCCGCCGUAUGCCCCUUCGCCGGACGCAGCGAUGCCCAGGGGAGGACGAUGCCGCUGUCCCGCCGGAAGCAACGCCCAGAGGACGGUGACGCCGCGACCCCGCCAACGUCUACUGCGUCUUCUCGGCCAACGUGAAACGCCGUGCUGUCCUCACGUUCUACGAAGAAGACGUUGACGCCCUGGGGUGGUUCCGCGCAGACGAGCAGGGACGGCCGCCGCUGUUACCGUCGUAAACGCGAGGACUGCUGCCUGUGCAGUCAUCAACGAGGAGAGGGGCUCCCGCAGAUUUCAGAGGUGGGCAGCGGAUGGCAUCCUCGUCAACGAAGGGCUGCUAUGCAUUCAGUUUGGUCAGUCAAACAGCCACUUUCAUACAGCCACUUUCCAAACUUUGAGAUGUAAUUCAAAUAUUCAAACCGAAUUUGACUUGACAAAGAGCUACUUUCAAUUGUUGACUAUGUAUCAUAGAUCCCAUUUUGCAUGUUGAUGCCCAUCAUUUACAUAUAGAGUGCAUCAAAAUAUUGAGCCAACGUCAGACCAAUGUUCACUAUCUUGAGAGUCGGACUCCAGGGUUCAGACUACUGAAAGUGAAAGAGAUAGCCCAUGCAUCAGGUUGUAGUUGCAGUUUGAACGUACAAGUUCAGUAUGCAAUAGUAUGCAGGUAGUAUUAUCCAAUGUUCACUGUCUUAAUGUACGGUCUUCAGAGUGGGAAUGGUCAUUGCCAUUCAGUUUAGACAAUGAACUCUAGACAGUGCAACUUCCAAGCUUUGAGCUCCAAACAAAUUUUUUUCCAGAUUGUUGUUGUGUCAUUGAAUAUUUGUACAAACUCUGAAUCGACGAAAUACAGUUCUCUAAUGGAUAUGCAUUGUGUUGUUACCUUUCAGACCACCUUGCCAGUGAUGGGUUGUCGGAGGAUAUUGUUUGAAGAAGCAGGGCCGUCCGCGCCGAGUAGGGACUCUGCGGAUAGCCCUUCACCGAAAAGGCUGGAGAUGAACGACAUGAGAGUCGCCGUCGACGUGAGAAAUACAGAAGUGCCGGAAAGGUCACCGCCACGAUCUGAACCGUCCUAGCUGGGAGAACGAGACACUAUUGACUCCUGCAUCAAAGUUCCAGAGAUGUUGGAGAGCUCCAACACUGGAUUUCGAACUCUGCCCACACAGAUAGGUUGCCAGCAAGGGAGUAAUGAGGAUCAAACCAUUACAACGGGAAGACAGGGUGUUGUGUUCUCGCCUCCGGAUACUUUGAACGCAAACCAGAUGAUUGCUAGUGAAGAAGAAAUUCCACCACAAACACACGUAAGUGAUGCAUGAUAAAUCUUUGUUUGAAUUGUACAAAGCAGUGAUAUGCAUAGUUAAAAAGCACAAAUGCAUGAGAGUAGUCAGUGAAAAUUUAUAUUAUGUCAUAUCUUUAAGGCUGUGAUGAUAAUUGAAUUUUCUACGCAAAUAUUGAUUCAUAUGACGGUGCAUUAGUAUAUGAUGUUAAUUGAAAUUAAUGUUAUUUGAAGCAGAAUGAAAGCAUGGAUCCAAAUAUGGUACCCAGAGAAGGGAUGUCAUUCCACACGGAAGCUGAAGCAAAGGCGUUCUACAUGAGAUAUGCACAACUGGCCGAGUUCGGCGUGAAAAUGUGCAACAAGAAAAAAUUCUCUAGAGUGAUGAGGUGUAGCUGUGAAAGAAAAGGAGAUUUUUAUAAAGGUGAUGAGGCUCUGCGAGUACGGAACAAGACAACAAUGAAGACGAAGUGCAAAGCUCAUCUGAAGUUUACGAGAGUGUAUGACAGUGAAGGCAACGAAGUAGAUAUGAUUAUAGAAAAGGCAAACCUAUUUCACAACCACCUGUUGCAUACGCCUUUGAAAACCAAGAAAAUGAGGUCACACAAGAGCACGAAACUAGUACUUUAUCAAAUAAUUGAUGAAUUGUAGGAAGCCGGCGUGAGUACGCAAAGUAUAAAGAAUGUAUUGCAAAAUAUGCAUGGGGGUGCAGAGCUUGUUCCGAUAACAUCGCGGGACAUAGAGAACAUGUAAAAGAACCUCACACAGUUUGUUAUUCCUAAAUAGUAAGGUUCAUGCCAAGCUAAAGUAUAUAAUCAUUGGUGUCGUUAAUGAAAUGUACUUACAAUUUAGAAGGAUAAAAUGUUGAGUUUUUUUAACCUGUUUUACAGGAAGGCCACUAAUGUACGGGAAGAACACGCAAAUGACAUAAACAAGCUUAUUGAAUUCUUCAAGGAUUGUGAGGCUCAAAACCCACAGUUCCGAUGGGAACCCAAGCUGGACUCUGAAGGUGUUAUACACAGCUUAUUCUGGAGUCAUGCAAGCAUGCAGGGCAAUUGUGCAGAUUUUGGUGAUGCAAUGAGCUUUGACACAACUCAUAAGACUAAUAUUUAUGAGAAACCACUAGCAAUGUUUGUUGGAUCAAACCACCAUCUGCAGAAUACAUUGUUUGGAUGUGCAUUGGUAGGAGAUGAAACAGCUGAAACUUUUGAAUGGGUGUUCAAAGCAUUCAAAAAGUGCAUGGGACAAAGUAGAACAAGGUGUAUCCUCACAGGUAAUAUGUUCAUCAUUGAUGUUUAUGAUAAAAAUAUUUGAUACAUGAGCAUAUACAACAAUUUAGAGCAAUUAAAGAACUAACAAUGAUGAAUUUGCAUCUUGUGGUAGACCAAGACCAGGCAAUGGGAGUGGCGAUUGCCAAAGAGUUCCCAGGGGUUGUUCAUAAGAUUUGCAGAUGGCAUGUGGUGAACAAGCACAUGCCACAUCUAACCAACCUCUUUGGGAUGUAUGCGAAGAAAAAUUUCAAGGACAAAUUUUAUUCUGUGCUAAACCACCCACUCACCCCUGUGGAGUUUGAGGCCGCUUGGCAGGAACUAUUGGAUCAGUUCGACCUACAAAAGGAUAGCACUUUAGAUAGCCUUUACUGCCAGCGAGAACUGUAUGUGCCGGCAUAUUUCAAAGACCAAUAUUGUGGCCGGAUGGCAUCGACACAGAGAAGCGAGAGCUCAAAUUUUGUUCUAAAGAAGUGUUUUGUUGACAAGCACACGGCUUUGCACAGGUUCGCCAAAAAAAUGCUUGACUUCAUGCAUUCACGUAAGAUGAAGGAGUCUAAAGAGUCGUACCAUGGAACGGUAACGUAACCAGCGUGUCAAUUCAUAUUUAUGGAGUGCGUGUAUAAAGAUCAUUUCCCUUAACUAACUGUUGCGCUUGUACUGUGACAGAGCAAAAGGCUCACAAGAAGCAAGUGGCCAUUUGAAAUACAGGUUUCACGAAUUUAUACUAGAAAUGUGUUCAAAGACUUUGAAAAGAAGAUGAUCGAUUGCACAGUUUUCGAUAUAGAAGACAAUCCAAUAGAGGGUGAAUCAUGCUAUCUGGUAACUCACACAAAUAGGUCUUCUAAAAUAUCUUGGGGGCAGCACCAGUUCAAAGUGCGUGCAAACAAAGAAAAUGGCGAGUUUCAUUGCGAGUGCAAGGAGUGGCAGCAUACAGGUACAUGAUAAAACUAUUACAAUAUUUAUAGCGUACAUCCCAAUUUCUUAUUAACAGUACAUAUACUCUCUUGGUUGUUUAGGUUUGUUCUGCGUGCACUUGUUGAGAGCCUUCAUGAGGAUCCAGCUAAAUAGAAUACCACAACAUUACAUUCUCCGUAGAUACACAAAAUAUGCACAGCAGGAGUUGGGAUUCGACAGGAAUGACAAGCUCCAAGUUGGGGCUGAUGGAGUCACACAGUUGUACAGACUCAAAGAUCUAACGUCCCUAGCAAUGGUUGCAGUCAGGUCUGGGAGCAUGUCGCGCGCUGCGCACAUUAGAACGAGAGAGGUGUUGGCAAAUCUUGACAAAGAUAACAAAGAAAUACCCCCUGACAUCGGGCCAAGCACAACAAACAUGCACCAAGAAUCACCUGGAGAGGUAAAAAUUCUAAAAUGUUGCAUGAAGUGUAUGUUGCAUGGCAAGGCACUUAACCGCAUACAUCUGGGUUUGAUUUUGCAGGAGUUAUCAGAUUGUAGUGAAAGUGAUGAUGACUAUGGUGACAACACAAAUGAUGAACAAUUGGCGAAAAGGGUUACCCAGAUAGGCUUGUAUCAUGAUACAGGUGUAUGCGAGUUACCACACUAGGAAAAAAGAUUUGCACAAUAACAAUGACACAAUGUGAAGCAGGAAUUGGGACAAGCAAACGUGGAUGGAAAUGAAGCUAGAGAGAGUAUAAAGGGGAAAAUGGUUCUUGCAGCAAAUCUGGUAUGAUUUGUCAUGGAAGUAGUAUAAAUACGGGAAAUACACAAGUUAACUUGCAUAUCAGCAAGAAAUAUUAAAAGAGAUGUGUUAAUUGUUUUUCAGGAUGCUUUUGGUGGAGACUUUGUGCGCAACGAGGUUGUGCUAACCAACCAAACAGUCAUGACAACUAAAGAUGCAAGAGUGCAUGAAGGAUGUGCAACCCACAGUGGCGAGGUUAGAAGAAUGAGUUUGGAAAUAAUUAAUGCCAUCACCAUUGUUGCAUUGAAUUUAAAGUUUGUGCAAUAAUCUUUGCAGUAUCAUGCCAAUGAUGAUAGACUGAUCAGCCGAGUCCCACCUACGAGAGCCAAGACUAAAGGGCGGAGCAUACCACCAUCUGAAAAGAAGGAAAUUUCGUUGGGAGCCAAAGGUGUGAAAAAGGGCACAAGGAGAUGCAGUAUUUGUGGGUACUACGCAACACAUAACGCGAGAACAUGUCCCAAACUCCAGCAUAACAAAGAGCGCUUGGAAGUAUUGAAGAACAGAAUGAGAGGCAGGCCACGAGGAGCACAGCAUAAGAGUAGUGCCAGCCAGCAUGAUAGUGGAGGAGAAGAGCAUAACAUAGGGCGACAGCAGGACACAAAGAAGUGCCAAGAAAACAAAUAUAUUGAUUACGAGAGCAAUGACGAGCAGUUUUUGUGGGAUUCGUCCAGUGCUCAUUGUAUAUAAAAGGGCAUUGGAUGUCUCUGUAAUAGAUAGGGAACAUUGCCAGUAGUAGUUCCUCUGAGCACGCCUCCGUGUGCAAUGAUGCCUAAGCGCAGAGACAUGUCUUUUGAAGAAUACUGGAAUCAUUAUCGGCAACGAGCGGUCUUGAAGGAUGUUCCAGACAUUUGUGAAAGUAGUGAAAAAACAAAAGAAGAACGUGGCAAAGGAAAGGUAAUCAAGAAGAAAGAGAAUAAGGUCAGGUGUAUUUACUCGGAAUAAUGUUUUUGUUCAGUAAGUUUAUUUACUAGAUGUCACAUAUUUAAUUAUCAAAUGUAUCAUUAAAUAGGAAGUGGCAAAGCCCAUAGAAAAACAGACUUCGUUCCAAAAGGAACACGACAAAUUUAUGAGCGAUAUAAUAUUUGAGGAGAUGUGCCUUGUGGAAGGGGAGCUUCCGGACAAACUAGCGAGGAAUGGGACAACAGAAGGCGAGAUUAGCACGGUGAGUUUUGAGUAUUUGAAAAGAAUAUGAAGGACAAUAGAAAAAGAUUAUUAUAUUGAAGAAUUAUCAUAGUGUGGUAUAAUACAUUUGCAGAAUGGGGAGAACACGGAGGCGGAGGUUUCCAGCAAGAUUGGACGGUGAAAAACAACAUCAAGGAAGCCAAGUAGCGAUUAAAUAAUUUACUUAAUAAUCGAGUGCAUAAACUGAUUUUUGUAAUAAGAGUAAUAUUUUAAUAAGGCAUUACCCUUGUCAUUGUGUACAUUCUUGAGUACCGACCCCAGUAUGCGAAUUCUGAUCGUGGCGAUAGUCAAGGUGUGAGAAUAUGUAAGAAUUAGUGCAACGGAGAACAUCCCUAUGCAGUGUUAGGUCCAUGAUUUCAUUUGUGGUUGUUUGAGAAUGGAUCAUGUGAUGUUGCAGCGUGAGAAAUUCUGCCCCCUGAGAUUUUUCAACACACGCUAACAGGAGAAACUGAACAUUGGGUAACACUCAUAUGCAAUAUGAUAGCAGCUUCCUUUCAAUGAAUCAGUUUUGUUUCUCCGAAUAUCUGUGCUGCUUAAAGGCGUAGAGAUGUUUCUGUCCGUCCCUACCUCCCUCAAUGUGCUAAGAGACAAAGUCAGUAUUACCUAUAAUCGAGCUCUUGUUUUACUGUGGAAAUCUUUGGCGUAAUUUUCUAUAGAGUAACAGAGCAUCACACACACGGCAAGUAAAAGGCGUAUAUCCACAAAUAUGGCACUUCAGACAUACGACAAAAAGGAUGAAACCUUGUGCUACAUUACUGGUGUCCCAUUUCCAUUGCCGUAGCAACAUGAAACAAACGAUCAGUUUAUAAUAUACAAAAGACUAGAAAUAGCGAUAGGAAAGCUAGACGCAGCGGCCUCAUAAGAGAGGCAUACAUGCUUAAAACAGAACAAAGAGAUGCGUCGGGACUGUCGCAGCAGCAUUAAUACACAUCAAAAAUGAGGUAUUCACAUGUCAGUCACAAAACUAAGCAUUGUUCAUGUAUGAAUCAUGAGAAUGUACAAUAUGCACAGCUACAAAAGAAUAAAAAAUUAAAUAGUAAAGGGUUGUAAUGAACAAAAAAAAACUAAUAGAAAAAAGGGUGAUGAUCAUCUCGACGGUACUGAAGGAUUUCGUCGGGCAGCGCGACAACCUUGUUCUGCUUAUGAAAAGUGAGGUAAUACAAGGUCUCAGCACGCAACUCUUUUGAUCGUUCCUGAAAUUUAAAGACAUAUAGCCAUGAAAAGUAAGAAACUGCAUGCGAAAGGGUAGAGUCUUGGGAAAAGACUUACAGCAGUGAUGCUAGUGUGUAGUGAGCCAUGUCCAUCACCAUCAUAGAACUCGAGAAACUUCAUGGCAAAGAAUGCACUGUCCGACAAGGCCUUCUGGACGGCAACCUUGACCGGGACAUGUCUCCAGUUCUUGAAUGAUUUAAAUUUGAGAGGUGCAGCAAUGGAGAGAGCAUCACUUAGUCGGUGCAUGAUUUUUUUCCCAAAUUCCAAAUGAUACUUGUCCCAAUUGUUGUCACACUCAGGGGUGUACAACAUUGAGUCAAGCACAUCAAUCCGUGAUUGGCCAAAGUUAACGCAAUAAACAGACCAAUGGUGCUGAUGUAGAACUGGUAGAAGAAUCUACACAGUGUGUAAAAAGAAGAAUUGACUUAUUUUUGCGAAAAUAUAAUAACAAGGACUUAUCUACUUAACUAAAUUCACGAGUACAACAUAUGCUGAAGCUACUCAAACACAUAAUUAUGAAACCAGCAAACUCAUGGCCAGAUUGGAGGACCAGAAAAAAAUGGACAAAAGCUAACCAAAAAAAAUAGUAGAUGUACCAUCUUUGUCUUCUUCAAGUCUGUGAAAGGAAGACAACGUUGGAUGGCUGUCACUGCUGCAAACUGGCUAUAUUUGGGUUCGGAGCUGUCCCUUUUGUGCCACUCAACAUUGAGAAUUGCCUUCAAGAAAAGAAAUGCCAUGGAAUAAAAAAAGUAUGAAAGAAUGGAAAAAUUUUAAUAUAUCUAGUGUCAAAGAAUGGCAAAAUAAAAGCUUACUGAGAGGCCAGCAUCAAAAAAAAAUUCUGUAGCCAUGGCACUCGGAUCCAAUAAUCAUCAUAGCUAAGACAUUUGACAAAUCCUGUGAUAAAAGUUGAGUCUGGGAUUGCACCAUCGGCAAAUGAUUGUGCAAUCAUGUCACAAGUUAAAGGGGUGCUACCAAACUGGAUCACCGGCAUGCUGUGGAUAUUACAAUCAGCAAAUGGAGAAAUAGAAAGUUUGGCUAUUAUAAGAUUUAGAAAUGGACAAAAGCUAACCUUUUCAAUGUGGAGUCAUCAGCGCACAUGUGUCCAAAGAGACUCAUUGCUGCGUCCACAUUGGGUGCAGGACGGGACAUAAUUCCAUACUUGAAGGGUGAAGAAUAUUUAGCAGGCUUCCGUGUCAUGCGUUUCCCUGUUCUCUGUUCUGACACAUGUAAAGUGCCUGACACCAUGUUAUUUUGAUCCUUUGGAAAGGUCAAAAUAACAUUUAGUUGGAAAAUAAUUAGCUGGAAGGAUUGCAACUCGAAUCGAAUGGAGUGGGUGGUAAUCGUGUCCAGUUAAACAUACAGUUUUGGCCUGGUCUUCAAAUUGGGUAGUGCGUGAUGCAGGGAGAGUAUGCAUAGGAUUUGAUUGCUCUUCACAAUAGAUGGCAUCAAUGAGAUUGUUGAUUCUAUUCAUAUCAUGGUUGCUGUCAGGCAAACUAGAAUAGGGUGGUAUUAUAUGAUCUGAAAAAUUAAUUUCAUGAAUACAGCGUUAAGCAUGAACAGAAAUGACUCCUAAACAAUUAAAGGCUGAGCAUAUGGGUAACAAUCCUGACAGCUGCAUAUUGUAAUGUAAGCCUGGAUACAACCUGGAAAAGAGAUAAAGAGAAAAUUCAGACUACAUAAAGCUAACCUGAGCAAGUAGUAGUACGUGCAUGGUCGUCCCUGCAAGCUUCUUGAUGAGGUUUAGUGCAAGGUGUAGUGCCACCAGUUUUAGAUGUGGCGGGAUCUGUGACCAAGAUUUCCAAAAUAACCGCUGUUAAGCUUUUAUGGUAAAGGGUCAUUACCGAGCAUUUUGCUUGUUGUAGUAUGCGAUAGGCAGUACCUGUGGUGUAUGAGUUUUGGCCGUUGCCAUCCCUUAAUACGUCAUCUCUGUAGCAAGAACUUGGGGUCCUGAAAACACCGCCGUUUCCAUGCUCGAAUAGUUGAUCUACAGAAAGUAAUGUACAGAAAAAUAAGUUGAAACUUUCAGAAGCAAUUUGAUUAGGAAUUGAAAAAAAGUACAUAAUCAGAAUGGAUUGUGGGGAUCGAUGUGUGCCACCGUUGUGAGGAUCGACAAAGUCCUCUUCGAUGCCUGAGUUGUUCCUCCGUGAAGUGUCCCCAAUAUUGUUAGGAUCAGAAGCCGACCUCUGGGCAGCAAUAAGCUCCUCUAUUACCGGUCCACACUUUUCAGCUAGACGAUAAGGAGCUCUAGCAAUGUUGCAUAGAGAAGCUUGGAUGGCACAAGUGUUCUCAGAUAAGGUUUGGUUAAACUGGUCGAACAAUUCAUUAAAUGCUUGCAAGGGGUGACCAGUGAGACAACCCAAUGGAUGGGACAAGAGAUCACGCAAACGUGGAAUACGAAUCUUAGGGACAUUAGUCAUGUCAUCCAAACCAACAUUGAAGUUCCUGGGUCUUGGUGGAGCCUGGCAUGUAUAAUGAUGUGUAAAAUUGAGUAUAUACAAGGAAAAAGAAAAUGACACUAAAAGUCAACCAUGUAAAAUAUAAGGAAACUACAUGGAACAUAUGUCAGGUUUUAGAAGUGAGUAAUGUACACAGAGCAACUAGAAGAAUAAUACAACACCGGGAAUUACUGCAUAUAUAUGUGCAUAGAUAUUGUGUGUGUAUUUGUAACAUGACAAUUCAAUUUAAUAUUUGGCACAUACCUCUGUGCCAUCCUGGGCAAGGAAAUAAUCGGUUAAUCGCCUAGAAUUAUCAGCUGCACUAUUCUUUUCCUUUGAAGAGCGGUGAGAGGACCGAAACUUCUUCCUACGGCGAUCUACAACCCCGGUGCGAUCAUCAGAAGCAUUCCUCAUACGGCGAACAGAUUUAUUGCACCCCGGAUCAUGGUCAUCCGCAAUAAAAUCAGCGCUAGGAUCAUCAGGAACAUAACUCUGUUGAGGAACAUUUCGGUUGGGUAGCUGUUGAAAAGACAAUCCAGGGCCACCACCCACUGGAUAAGAUGAUCGCAACUCGGGUCGAAGAAGAACCUCGAACCUGAAGUGAGAAAAAUGAAAGUAUAAAGUAUAGACCAUGAAUCAAUGAAAAUACAGUGGACUACAGGAGAGGCGGUGAAAUUAUAAACAUGCGCAUACCUCUCCUGUGUGCUCUCGAAUACAGCUAGCUUCGGGUUGAUAGGCAUCCUAUUCACCAACCGCUGACAAGUAUCUGUCCUGGGAGACAAAUCAAAUUGAACAUACUCUGUGUCAGUAAUAAUGAAUACAAUGAGUGGUUAGGAUCCAAAUAUGUUGUAGUUGUUUACAUGGAAUAUUUACAAACUGAAAAGAAUAAAAUGAUGUAAACGUUAUGACAGGCUUGGGAAAGCGGUAGAGAUGAGAACACAGACAAAAAUGAGUCACAUAAGACCUUCUAGUUGAGCAGAUCCGUGGAGAACCUUGCUGAACACCUUCUAACUGUAAGGGAACCGUAUCUACACAUGGAAGAAAAUAAUUAGAGAGAACUACAAAAACAACUCUUUCUUUACUCGUUUUCUAAAGAUUUAGCAGAUACCUGAAGACUCCAUGAGUAGGUAUGAAAAUGAAGGAAACCACAGCUCGGAGGGAUGAUGGCAGAGCUGCCUGGCAUGGGGGAGGAAAAGAGAUGUUAAUAAAGUAUAAAAAGAGUUGUUUUCGAGUGCAUCAUUAAUAUCAUAUGAAUCCUGUUACCGUGGUGGUUCUAAAAUACCUUUCUGUUUUAUUCUUCAAAAAGGAUUGACUCCAAAAUAAGAACAAUUGAGCUUGAUGGUAGGCGCAUAAAGUUGAAGAUCUGGGAUACUGCUGGGCAAGAACGUUUUUGAACUAUCAACUGGUACGCAAUAUGCUUCGUUUGCUGUGAGGAGCAGGUUCUUUAACUAUUUAUGUGAAACUGCUCUGAAUCUACAAACUUUUGACUAUGCAGCCUACUACAGGGGUGGAAUGGGCAAUUUGCUUGUGUAUGAUGUUACUGACGAGUCAUCAUUCAAUAGUGCGUAUUCUUCAACUUCAAUCAACAGACUUUGGCUUCCUAAACUGACCUUGCUGUGGUCAUUGGCAGAUAUAAGAAACUGGAUUAGGAACAUUGAGCAAGAUGCUUCUGACAAUGUGAACAAAAUUUUGAUAGGCAACAUAGCAGACAUGGAUGAAAGCAAACGGGUAUGUUCUGUUCUUCUUUAUUGUCUCUUGUCCAUGAUAUGCUGACAUCCUAUUUGCGAUUGUGCAUUUUAAUGUUCAGUUUAAAAUGAAAACGUAAAAUCUUACUGGUGCUUGGAAGUAUUGAUGAACUGGCUUCCUCAACUGACCUUGCUGUGGUCAUUGGCAGAUAUAAGAAACUGGAUUAGGAACAUUGAGCAACAUGCUUCUGACAAUGUGCUUGCAUUAGUUCUGGCAUAGAACUUCAUGAUGUGUUACCUACGGAACAAAGUUACCUACGGAAGAUGCGUGAAAUCAAAAGCUUAAAUCAGAUUGUUGAAUCUAAUGUCCGGCUCGGCCAUGGCUCGGCCAGCAGGAACUCGACAGCACUGCAUGAUGAAAGGAACGCACAAGAGCAACUGAUUAAAGAGAAGAACAAGGAUGCGACGGAGUACUAACCGACGAGGACCAGCGGAAUCAGCUGCGAAAUGCCAAAUUGAAGAUGACGGCCUGCGGGCGAGGUGCUAACAACUGAAUGCGGUGGAGGCCCUACCCGCCAGCAGCUGGGGAGCGGUGGAUGCGGGGGAUGCCGAGCGGCGGCGGCGGCGAGGGAUGGAGACUGGCGGUGACACGAGGAUCAGAGGGCGCGACGACAGCGGAGCGCGGCGAGCUUAGGGUUUGGGAGCGGCGGCGGCGGGGGAUGGCGAGCGGCGGCAGGGAGGGAUGGCGAGCAGCGGCGGCGGCAGGGGAUGGCGAGCGGCGGCGGGGAGGGAUGGCGAGCGGCGGCGGCGGGUGAUGGCGAGCAGCGGCGGGGAGGGGUGGCGAGCGGCGGCGGCGGGGGAUGGAGAGCGACGGCGCGCGGCGGGGGAUGGCGAGCUGUGGCGGUUCCUGCUAGGAGGAACUGGAACGGGAGGAUGUUGACCCACGUUCGGAGGAGCUAUAUAUAUAUAGCUAGGAACGUCAUGCUUGAGAUAUUUUGAAAUGUCUCUUUAUAAAUAAAUUUAUGAUGAGCAAUAUAUAACUUACGGAAUGAGAUAAGUUCAAGUAGGAACGACCAACAUAAUGCAUACACUACCUGGUCAAUGUCCAUAUCGGCUGGAAACUCAAAGUUGCUCUCUGUACGUAUCCUCAUAUGCAAACCAGAUGGUGUCGUCUGAUGGGAAUCAAUUGUAAAAAUCCUUAAAAUUCCCAGCUGCGGUUGAUACUGUCAGAGGAUCACCUGGGAGGGUUGAUGCUGCUUCACCGUGAGAUGUGCAUCGACAGCGAGUUACCCGUGCACCCUCAGCAUAGUCAGAAGGGAAAGUACUCUUGGUCAGAUCCUGACGAAUAUCAAAAUAAUCAUAGAAACUAAACAUAAAAAUGAUUAUGGACAAAUUACAUAUAUAUACUCACAACACUAUCCGUCGUUGCGUGAAUGAUGCACAAAUUACUAGUAUAGAAUUGGCAUUCGAUGCGCCCCCUUUUGUGCCGGUUUAAAGUUGGCCCGGGACAAAAGGGGUGCGCCACGGUAGGUAAAAAUGGAGGGGAGAGUUAGUCCCGGUUGGUAAUUGCAACCGGGACUAAAGGCCCUCCUUUAGUCCCGGUUGCAACGACUAGUUCCGGCGCGUUGGUGGCGGCACCCUUUUAUCCCGGUUGGAGGUUCCUUUUAUCUCGGUUGGAGCCUCCAACCGAGACAAAAUGUUUAGUCCCAGUUGGAACUUUCAACCGGGACAAAAGGUGUUUCGUUUUGUCUCGGUUGGAGUUUUUAACCGGGAUGAAAACUCAUUCCCAUUAUAUACCAAGAUAGAGGCCUUUCUUCCUCCUCCAGCCCGAGCCAGACCAGCACAUAGAUAGAGAGCUGAGCUUCACCUACUCUCCGGUGGUGCCGAAGCAAGGGAGGUGCUGCCCGAAGUUUUUUUCCUCAUUUUCGUGGGAAUUUCACUCAGCCAACACAAGUGUUGUGAAGGUUUGCUACUUCAUCCUCGUGUUAUGCUUUGAUUUAUGCUUUGGAGAUGGAAAGAUUAAUUGCUAGAAUGUGAUGAAGUAGAAAAUGGAGAGGUAUUUUGAGCUAGAAUGUGAGGGAGAUUGAUGUGUCAUAUAUAGUAUGUAUUCUUGCAGUGGUUUAAGAAUGAUGCUACCUUGCCUAGACGGUUUAUCUUAUCAAAUUCAAUAAGGUUUUUCAAAUCUAUACUUGUUGAACUUGCAUACCGUGUUCAUCUCUGCGAGCAUGUUCUCUGCCGAGCAGCAACGUAUGUCAAGAAGGAGGUUCGAUUCUACGAGAAAGAGUGGAUAUGGACAUCGUCACUGUGUCCCCUUUUCCAUAGCAUCGAACCUCUUUCAUGACGAAGUGCGAUGCCGCCUAGUUGAGAACAUGCUCGCGAGAUGAUCAUGGUCUUCAAGUUCAACAACUUCUGCAGUGCUAAGGAAAGUAUUUUUGUACAUAGAUGGCUUCUGCUACUUGCUGAACUUAUCAAAUUCAAUAUGGUUUUUCAAAUCCAUACUUGUUGAACUUGCAUACCGUGGUCAUCUCUGAGAGGAUGUUCUCCACCGAGCAGCAACAUAUGUCAAGAAGGAGGUUCGAUUCUACAAGAAAGAGUGGAUAUGGACAUCGUGACCGUGUCCCCUUUUCCGUAGAAUCGAACCUCUUUCAUGAAGAAGUGCGGUGCCGCCCAGUUGAGGACGUGCUCACGAGAUGAUCACGGUCUUCAAGUUCAACAAAUGAGACACUAAGCAUGGUCAUUUUCAUCAAAUGUGUUGCUUUUGGAGCUGGGGAGAAUGUAUUUUUAAUAUCAUGUAACUCGCUGAACUCGACCGGGCAUGUACCUCUGAAAACACCAUCUUGGAAGUACGCUAAAACUGCGUGGAAAGAUGAGUGUUCGGUCUACUUGCCAGGCAGGCUCAUACCUCAGAAAAUUCUGGUCGAAUAAAAUAUACAUUGAGGUUUACAAACCUGAGGUUUCCUUGAAACCAUGUUGCUAGCAAACUACCAAAAGUAGGCCAAGCAAGAGAACAAAGAUGUCAAUUUCUCAGCGUUGGAGGGGAGUCCUUAUUUAAUAUAUUAAGGAAUAUCUGCCUUGUUUAUUCACUACUGUACAACAUUAUAAGCAAGUGGUUGCAACUUGGAACAUAUAUAGGUGGGGCCAUGUCGUAUGUCCUUCAUUCAAUCAGGGCCGCCACAUCAACGUCUUUACCUUGGGCACAAGUGGCAAAUGGAACAACAACUUGCACGCAUAUGAUGAAGAGUCCUACCCGCGUACUGCUUUAAUUUUUUAUUUUUGUUGAUGACAGGCUGGCUGAUGUUAUGGGUGCGUCUCAGUUCUAUAAAUAAAGGAGGAAACGUGGUUGCCUAUUUUGACUCACCACGGAUGCAUGUUUAUAUAGGACCAACCGCUCAAGAUAUAUACAAGAUCUCGUCAUCGUACGUGACUCGGAUACCGUUUACAAAAGACUUAUCUCUAAUCUACCUCUAAGUAUCCGAAUCAACUAAGGAUGACAAAGUAGUUGGAACUGUUUACACAAGAUAUUCUAUUCUAACAUCCUCCCUCAAUCUAAACUUCUCUUCUUGAGAUUUAGAUGGUGCUUGAAGUCUUCUAACUUGCCGGCUAUCAAAGCUUUAGUAAAACCAUCCGCAACUUGAUCAUGAUACUAAUCUGACUUGUAAUUGCUUCUUGGCAACCCUCUCUUGUACAAAGUGAAAAUCAAUCUCUAUAUAUUUUGCACGAGCAUGAAAAACUGGAUUUGCUGAAAGAUAUGUGACCCCCAAAUUAUCACACCAUAAGAUAGGUGGUUGUGUCAACUUUACUCAAGUUCAAGCAACAAAGAUUCUAACCAAAUCAAUUCUAUAGUAACAUUUGCCAUAGAAUUAUAUUCUGCUUCAGUACUAGAUCUUGAAAUUGUACCUUGCUUUCUAUCACUCCAAGAUACAAGAUUAGGAUCAAAGAAUAUUGCAAACCCCCCUGUAGAUUUUUCAUCAUCAACACUACUAGCCCAAUCAGUAUGAGAAAAUGCACUCAAUGUCAUUGAACUAGACCUUCUCAUAUGCAAUCCAACAUUCAAGGUACUAGAGAAUCAACCCAUCAUCGUCUUCAUGUCUUGUCUAACAUGUACUGACGUGACAGGAAUUUGCCAUGCGACGACCGCCAAUAUGCUAGUCUCCGCACAAGCUAGCAACGUCCAAGGAGACUGCACACAGUCUCCCUUCAGUGAAUUAUAUAUGUGUGUAAAUAUAAAAGGCAGCAACAUUCAUGAAAUGUCGACCACUAAGAUCGUGGAUUCACAUUUAGCGAAAUGUCUCUAAAUGGUUCUUACAUUAUAAUAAUAUAAAAGAUCUCUGUUGACUUCACGAGUCAAGAUAACAGUGACACUGUUCUUUUUGCCACCACAGAAAUAUACUCACAUAGCGUGUGACAAAUAAAUAAAGGAAACACAUAUUUAUUUAAAUUCUUAGUUUGUAUUUGGUUUGCGAACGAGAUGGUUCUCUUCGUCCUAGUGUUCUGUUGACUUCACGAGUCAAGAUAACAGUAACACUGUUUUUUUCGCCACCAUAAAAAAUACUUGUCAGAUACCGUGUGACAAACAGAUAGAGAAAAUACAUAUUUAAUUAAACUCUUAGUUUUUUUUGUUUGCGAACAAGAUGGUUGUGUCUGUCCUAGUUUUUUAGAUGGGAUAUCCCUUCUUUUGCUUGGUUAAGGGAAUAGUGUCACCUCUAUUUUAUAUAUUUCAUAGCAGGGAUAAGGAGAAAGAGGAUGGAUAGCUGUUUUCAAUACGUGAACCACCAUUAGCAUGGGCCUUAGUUGUUAGCUCCAACAGCGGAGGUUAGCGAUGAGGACGGAGACCGGCACGCGGACUCAGUAGUGGAGCUGUGUGGCCUUGGCCAUGGCAAGAGAAGAUGGGAGGCAGUGCCACCAUGGCUGCCCGUCUGUGCUUCAUUCACCCGCCAUUUACCAUCAACCCGAGCUGCUUGCCGUCGGUCAGAGCUACCGCAGUGUCAAUUCAAUCCACCAUUCUCUUCCAUGCUACACUCACCACCUCACCGUUGAGCUGACUCGUACCUCAGCCAUGGACAGCCGCCAUUGACGCCAGAACAUGAAGAUGGGACACAUUUAACGAUGCCAAAGUAGGAUGAAUUGUUAAAAUUUUUUUAAGAACCCGAUUAAUUCCUUGGGUGGGGUGACGCGCAAUCCUAGCAAUCCCUGAUCCAAACAAUAUCAUAAACUUGGGAUAUCCUGCUUUGUCUUGGUUUCCACAAACUAAAUCUGACUCCCUCCGAUUCAAAUUGUAAGUUGUUUUGGCAUUGUAUAUAGGUUUUAUGAUGCACCUAGAUAUACGUUAUGUCAAUAUAUAUAGUAAACCUAUGUAUUUCAAAAAGUCAAAACAACUUACAAUUUGUAAGGGAGUAUAUUAGUGGUGAAAGAAGCCUAACUCUCUUAAUUUCUCUAAGCUUUUGAAAUAGAGCACAACUUCAAGUUGUUGUAGGAGAUUCGGGUGUAUAUAUGUAAAUUUCCUUGCUUUGACAUUUCUUCAUCUAAGAAAAUACAAAAGUGUAGCAAUCCUCAAAAUCUCGACGACUACCCAGUUCAUUCAUGUAUUCACACUUGUUUGUUGUUACUGAAAAGUUUUGUGUUCCUUACAUGACACCCAAGUCCUAUCUUUUAUUCCUUAUUUGAUAUUUUUAACACUUGUGUCACUUCAGUCGAAUGAAACAACCAUCAAAUCAUCUUCAAAAUUCAUGAAACUUUUUUUGUAAUAGAACAAAUGAAGAUAAAUCCAUUUUGCUUAAAUUCGCUAUGUAAGUUUUGCUAGGAAAUAGUUUAAUAAGUUCUAGCAUCUGAUGUGAGAAAUAUUAGUUAUUUUCUUAUAAUUUUCAAAAGUGUGUCGAUGCCAUCAAAAUUCAGAUAAUUUUAGAAGCAGCCUAAUUUGGUGAAUUUUAGUUUUAAAACUGUAAAGGUUUAUGUGUCCUUUAUAUCAAAAUGGGUUAAUAUUCGUUUGUUGUAUCCCUACAAAAAGUUUCAUGAUUUUUGGAGGUGAUUUGGAGAUUGUUUCACCUAACUAACUAACAUAAGUGAUGGAAAUGUCAAAUAAGGAAUGAAAGUUCGAAGUUGGUGACAUAUUUUGAAGGAAAAACUUUCCAGGAUCAAGAAAGGAAUUAACUCAUCUUCGAGUGUCAAAUAAGAAACUUUCUCUAAGAAGAAUCGAAGAAUAUUCUUCAAAUACAAAGAUGGUAAUGACCAUGUUUCUAAUUGGCCCAGUACACACUUGUUAAAGUUUAGCCGCGUUCGUUGUUCGUGUGUCGUGGCAGCCCCGUGAUUUUGAGAUGGAAGGAUAAAGAACAACACAACUUUAUUACGCAUGCAUUGGGUGACGUAAGCAUGCAAUCCCUGGAUGACUUCACCAAGUCAGCAUAUAUCAAGUACAGUUGUGUUUUCUUCCCCACGCUACCACAAAAAAUUGUAGUCCAAAACCACGUCUCAGUCAUCCUCAUUCUAUGCCAAAUUUUUGUCUAUUUUUCCCUUGCUAAAUUGCACAAUAAAUGUGUUCUUUUUUUCCAUGAGUGAAGAGUAAUGAAGCAUGGUCAUUUUCUUGCCCAUCUGGCCACCUUUGUAGAAUGUUCAAGUCUAAAUGAGUUAUAUUUGGACAGGGGUACACUAUGGGAAACAACAACUUUGCCGAGUGCCUGGGAGCACUUGGCGAAGCCCCUAAAACACUCAACAAAUACCUCCUUUGUCGAGUGCCCGAUAUAAUGCACUCGGUAAAUAAAAAAUACUCGGCAUUUUAAAUGUUUUCCGUAGUGGUAGUACGUAUUCAAAAUCGUGUUCCUCAAUGAACUCGAUCAAGUACUUCUGAAUACAAACCGAGACUAAAGGGUCUGAGGACUUUUGUCCUUUUUCACCCACCCAUGGGGGACCCUUUAGUCCCGGUUGGUGUGAUUUUUUCACCUGGGACUAAAGGGUCUGUCACGGGUGGCUGAUUUUUGACUCGGGACUAAAGGGGGCUUUAAUCUCGAUUGGUAUUUGACCCGGGAUUAAGACCCCUUCAGUCAUAAGCCAGCUUUAAACCGGGAUAAAAGGAGGCGCAUGGAAGAUGAGUUCUCUACCAGUGAUACCAAUGCUAGACUUGUUUUAACAUUUAUUUCAUUUCAACAAAAAUUCGAAGCCAAAGACUAAAUAUUUACAUAACCAGGAUGUAUAUAGAACUUUUUGACUGCUAUUUGUCAAAAAAAAAACACCAUUCCUUGUUAGCCAAUAGCAUAGCAAAAUCUACCUCACAAUAUCAGUAUGCACAACCAGGAAGUAAAAAAAAAGCAUGAAAUCAAACAAAAAAAACAAAUCAAGUUUUACAUUCAAGCUGGUAUAGUCCUUCUGCUUGAUAUUUCUGUGCAAAUGGAAUAAAUCUUAAAACAAGUCAAACUGGGAAAUUUGCGGGAGCCACCUUGCUAGUUUGCUAGAAAUAAAAGUAGCAAUUAGGAUUUCAUUCUAUGCUAUAUAUAUACAGCCUCAGGCCGGGCUCUCCAGGACUCCAAACUGUGUACUCUCUUCAUUGUGUGGUGAGGUAGAGAACUAGGGAUCCCACCCUGAUAAGAUUCCUCUGGUGGAGAAAACCGUGGCUACUGCCGACAUGGCUUUGGCACCAAGUCCCACUCCCCAAGUUGAUGCUUUGCUACGACAUUCGCAACGUCAUGAUAUGCUAUCUUUGGACUACGUGGUAGCCCUGUUCUUCGUGGCCGUGGUGGCCAUGUUCCUUUUGCAUAUAUUGGGUCCGUUACGCCGGUGGUUGAGCCACGGUCUCCUCCAUCACAUCGUGAUGGGAGUCUACACUCUCUCCUACCCAUUGGUGGGCUACACCAUUGGGCUGAUGCAGUCUACCAAGUAUUUGUACUUGAACGACUUCACCGUGUGGGCUGUGUUCCUGCUUCUGCUCCUCACCAGCACGGACAGCCUCACGGCUUGCCGCCUCGACGACAUCGACAACUGGAAGAGCAUCUACGUCAAACAGCUCUUUAAGGGAUUCAUCGUGGUGUUUAUCGUUCUAAAGUUUUGCAUUUACAUGGAGUUGGCUUCGAAUUUGAACUACCUGUGGUACCCGCUCUCAGCCAUCCUGGUCGUUAUCGUCCUCAAGUCAUAUCUGAUGAUAGCUUCCAUGAGGAUGGUGAGCAAGUCCUACCACGGCAAGAACGUGAAGGUGAUCGCCGAAUACAUGCAGCAUAUAGACAACAAGCUGGUGGCCUUCGAUCCUGUGACCAUGGAAGGCUACCGGUACAUGGUCGCCGGUGAGAAACACUGCGUUAACCAGCCUGGGCACACACCAUGGUACAAGAAGCCGGACGACUUGAAGCUUACCACCGUGGAGCAGAUCUGGCAGUGCGAGGGGAAUCUGCUCAUUGGUGAUCAGGGCAAGGUGCUCAAGGACUUGUGCCUCUCUAUGGCUCUCUCCAAGAUGCUCAACCGCAGGUUUGCUGGCUUCAAGCUCUCAGAGGCAGAGCUUGAGAAAACCCAUGACUUCGUAUUCAAAGGCCUGCUCGCCGGGGAUGAGCAGCGGGUCUUCAGGGUCAUUGAGGAGGAGCUUGUUUUUGUCCAUGACAUGUAUUACACAAGGUACUCUUACCUCUACCAAAAGGGUAGAUACCUGGCUCUCUGUCUGCCUGUCAUCAUGUCUGCCCUAUGCUUGUGGCUCACAGUGGCCAGCCUGCACGUCAAGCGUGACGAGCACACCGAUCUCAGUAUUGAUAGCUUUCAGGAUCUGAUGAAUGCCGCCUCAUACAUCAUGUUUAAACAUAUAACUUCUGGCAGUCUGAUGUCUGGCACCAUAGUGAUAACGGUUGUCUUGGCAUUCCUGGAGGCAUACCAGCUGUACCUGUACAUGGCCUCAGGUUGGUUCAAGGUGGCUCUGAUACGGAGCUACGUCACCGCACCAUUUUUGCAAACAAGCUAUUGUUCUGAGAUGAUCAUACGUCUUCUCUUGAUGUUGAAGCCGUUUCGCCCAUGGAAGGGCAGACUUGGGCAGUACUGUUUCCUCGAGAAUCUUGGGCGCAAAAGUAAGGUUAUGAGUUGUCUCCAUUAUGGUACACUGUGCAUGGUGGACAAGGCCAUGAAGGGAAGCAAGAAAUCAGUGAAGCUGUCCAAAGAUGUGAAGAAAGCCAUCAUUGAUUCCCUACUAGCAAGCAACGGACACCUGACGAACGGGGUAACAUCGCUGCAAAGAAAUGGCGUCCAUGAUGACCUCAAAUGGGCAUGUGAUGGUACUGCUACUGACGGAGCGGUGGCUCGCACCAUUGUGGUCUGGCACAUUGCUACAACCCUGUGCGAGCAGAAGCUAGAUAAACAAGCCAAAGAACAAGACGCUGUCAAAACAGCCUCCACUUUAUCCAAGUACUGCAUGCAUCUCCUUGCUUUUGCACCUAAC